UCUAAAGGGAAGAGUUGGGAGAAGUGCAAAUCCUUAAAUAUUUUCAUAUCUUCCCUUUUCCCUGAUAGGUAUUCAUCCCACACAUUAUUUAUCUUUUCUUUCAUUAUCAAUGCUUUUGAAAUCAUCUAUCCAGAUUCACAUGGCAGCCUGAGACAACAGCAACAUUUCCCUUCUCUCUUCCAUUUUAUCUCUUAUCCUCUCUCUUUGACCAUCAAACCCUAAAAUCAGCCGCUUCCACCUUCAAAUUCGCUUCACUCCCUCUUCGAAAUCCAUUUCCCUCCUCGAUGUAUUUUCAGUUCAUGAAAUAUGGGUGAGCGUAGAAAGCUCGAGCAUGGUGUCAUAAUUUGAAGAAGCCUGUCAAGAAGGAUCUAGCAAUGACUGAAGAAGUGACACUUGCAGGAAAAAUUCUUCAAUUUUUUUUUAAAAUUGAGAAAAUUGAAAUAUUUUAGUUCAAAAUUUUUGGAUACAAAAACUUUUGAUACUCGAAAGUUUUUUGUUGGCUUGAAUCAAGUUUUCGCAUUUCGCUUAUUAAUUGCCGACGAAUUCCAUCCUCUUCUUUCUCAUUUGAUUUAUCUACUAUGGAAUUGUUGUUGUAUUGUUAUUUAUUGUUGUGGCAGGUUGUGAUUCAUGAAUCAGCAUCGAAUUGUUACUGUAAUUUAUGCUUCGCGACUAUACAUGCCAAGUGCUCGACAAAUAUCCUCAAUCAAUUUCUCAAAAGUCCAAAUCACCGUACAUGGAAAUUAGAAAUAAGUUAAAAAUUGGAAUAGAUUAAGUUUAUCUAUCAAUUUUUAAGACAAAGGUUGUCACCGAAGAUGUGAAGAUCGAUCUCUUCGAAGACGAGGAUGAGUUCGAAAUCAAUGAAGGGUGUACAAAGGAGUUCUUUGGAUUAUCUGUCAUGGUCUCACUCUUGGAAUUUUCCAAACUUGCAUGUUUAUAUACCUACCUCAAUUAUUGGCUGCAUAAAAUCUCUUAGGAUUUAAAUUGUGUGACAUGCCAUAUUGAACCUAUCAGUUCACAAGAAAAAAAAUACAUAAACUCAAGAGUUGAAGUAGUUGAAUUUUGUAUCAGGAUAUAUAUUUUUUGUAAUUUAGCUAUAAAUAA